UUUUGACCCAGACGAGUGUCUAAGACCCUUGAACUUUUUCAUCUGAAAGGAAAAUCGACCUUAAAUUUUAAGCAAAUUUCAUUGACAACCAUGAACAGUCGAGCAAAUUAACGAAACCAUAUCUUUUAUCCGAUGUAAAACUUCCUAACAAUCCAAAUCGUUUGACAUAUGCGACAAACACGUGCAACAGAAGAGUCAAGGUUGUCGGUCCACUGAGAUCAGAAAGCACAUCUCCAGACGGUCAAGAAAUCCCUGCUCGACUCCAAUCCCAGAAAUACUGCCAAGAUACUGAUAUCCAAGGUGACGCACUGGGGCCACUGAACUGUCAAAUAACAAUCAGAAGUCUGGAAAGAAGAGAUUCGGAAGCAAGGUGUUAUUAGCUCGAAAAACUUUGUAGAAUUUUCAGCUAUCUCACACGUCCUUGCGAGGUUAUAAUCAGUUAGAAUGCUACUUAAUGAUUAAAACUGUAUUUACCACUGUAAACUACAGAACACCCUCUAAU